GAAACUUGUUUUUCCACAUUGCGUGCACAGACUGAAGUAUGUUGUGGACCGAAUUCCAUCAAUAUCUAUGCCAGAUGUGUGCACCUAUCCGCCGGUGCCUGGAAAAGCUUUUUGUCAGGAUCACUGCCAGUAUUUGGAGUCACAGGUACCACCAGUACCAACAGAUCUCAGGAGUUUUUUGAAGCACUGCAAAGUUCAAAAUGGAGAUGAUGUUUCGGUUAACUUUGAUGAAGAGAAAACAAUAGACACGGUUCUACAAAACACUACUUCUGAAAUUGAAAUAGGAAAAUCUGCAGCUAUUUCUCAAGGAACCCAUGAUCUACUAGCAACAAACCCAUCACUGUUGUCAAAGAGCCUUCAUGUUGCCAAACCGAUGAUAGAGUCUACAGAAUGUCGCAAAAUUACUGGAAAAGCAAAACGUCUCCGGAGGUGGUCGAGGGGACACCAAUUUGUUGUGAGAGCAGGAGGCCAUAUAGAAGCUUGGCAACCAUUAUACAAGUCGGAAUCACCAAUGCAAGUUUUUUUCAUCCUAAUCAAGUGGCUUCAAACGUUGAGUCAACAUGCAGACAAACUACCACUUUCUGCCAACUGCUAU